UCGGAUAUGGUGUAACGGCCAACAUUGCCGCCUCUCAUAGUACGUGCGCGGCAGCUCGGGGUUCGAUUCCCCGUAUCCGAA
rnacentral:tRNA from 1 species